rnacentral:rRNA from 1 species
GUCCUUAGUUACCAGCACGUUAUGGUGGGCGACUCUAAGGAGACUGCCGGUGGACAACCGGAGGAAGGUGGGGAUGACGUCAAGUCAUCAUGGCCCUUACGGCCUGGGCUACACACGUGCUACAAUGGUCGGUACAAAGGGUUGCCAAGCCGCGAGGUGGAGCUAAUCCCAUAAAACCGAUCGUAGUCCGGAUCGCAGUCUGCAACUCGACUGCGUGAAGUCGGAAUCGCUAGUAAUCGUGAAUCAGAAUGUCACGGUGAAUACGUUCCCGGGCCUU